rnacentral:rRNA from 1 species
UACGUAGGGCGCAAGCGUUGUCCGGAAUUAUUGGGCGUAAAGAGCUCGUAGGCGGUUUGUCGCGUCUGCUGUGAAAACCUCAGGCUCAACCUGGGGCUUGCAGUGGGUACGGGCAGACUAGAGUGCGGUAGGGGUGACUGGAAUUCCUGGUGUAGCGGUGGAAUGCGCAGACUAUCAGGAGGAACACCGAGUGGCGAAGGCAGGUCACUGGGCCGGCAACUGACGC